rfam:Papilio xuthus contig17387, whole genome shotgun sequence.
UGGCACGUGUCGGUAAGAUAUGUUUGAUAUUCUUGGUUGUAUUAUACUAUCACCCGGGAAUCAAACAUAUUACAUAUCGAUCGUGACC